rnacentral:ncRNA from 1 species
UUCCCUCCGAAGUUUCCCUCAAGAUAGCUAGAGCCCUUAGCGAGUUCUAUCGGGUAAAGCCAAUGAUUAGAGGCAUCGGGGGCGCAACGCCCUCGACCUAUUCUCAAACUUUAAAUAGGUAGGACGGCGCGACUGCUUCGUUGAGCCGCGCCACGGAAUCGAGAGCUUCAAGUGGGCCAUUUUUGGUAAGCUGAACUGGCGAUGCGGGAUGAACCGGAAGCCGGGUUACGGUGCCCAACUGCGCGCUAACCUAGAACCCACAAAGGGUGUUGGUCGAUUAAGACAGCAGGACGGUGGUCAUAGAAGUCGAAAUCUGCUAAGGAGUGUGUAACAACUCACCUGCCGAAUCAACUAGCCCCGAAAAUGGAUGGCACUUAAGUGCGCGACCUAUACCCGGCCGUCAGGGCAAGGGCCAGGCCCCGAUGAGUAGGAGGGCACGGCGGUCGCUGUAAAACCCGGGGCACGAGCCCGGGAGGAGCAACCGUCGGUG